AUUGAACGCUGGCGGCAGGCUUAACACAUGCAAGUCGAGCGAGCGGCGGACGGGUGAGUAAUGUCUGGGAAACUGCCUGAUGGAGGGGGAUAACUACUGGAAACGGUAGCUAAUACCGCAUACCAUCAGAUGUACCCAUAUGGGAUUAGCUAGUAGGUGGGGUAAUGGCUCACCUAGGCGACGAUCCCUAGCUGGUCUGAGAGGAUGAACAGCCACACUGGGACUGAGACACGGGCCAGACUCCUACGGGAGGCAGCAGUGGGGAAUAUUGCACAAUGGGCGCAAGCCUGAUGCAGCCAUGCCGCGUGUGUGAAGAAGGCCUUAGGGUUGUAAAGUACUUUCAGCGAGGAGGCGUUACUGGCAGAAGAAGCACCGGCUAACUCCGUGCCAGCAGCCGCGGUAAUUC
rnacentral:rRNA from 1 species